UUCCUAAGCAAGAGGCAGAAGGAUGAGGGGGAGAUAUAAUAUGAAGAACAGAUAGAGAAUACCUAUUCCUGUUGGUCAAAACAGGGAUCAGCAGAAUCCUGGAACCUGGCUUCCUAUCAUCACAGAUUUAAAUAUGGGAAGGGCCUAAGAGAGCUUCUAAGUGCAAUUCGUUUUAGAGAAAAGGGAACUAAAGUCCAGAAAGGCUCUAUCCUACGUCAAGUACAAAUUGAAUUAAAGUCACUCCAAUCAAAAAACAGAAAAGGGGGAGAUGCCAGGAACCAUCAAGUCAUGAUGUUUUGACAUGGUCACUCAUGGAAACCAGCAGGUCACAAGUGGCUCCUAGGAAGGAUGGAAACAUCCACUGAACCCCCUCCCCCAGUGACUUUCCUUAUUAAUAUCCCCUUAUUAUUGGAAUUGCUAUGAUUAUUCUCCAGGAAAAAUAAAUGAGAGCAACAUGCUUGCA
rnacentral:lncRNA from 1 species